ACGGAAGGCAGCAGUGGGGAAUAUUGCACAAUGGGGGAAACCCUGAUGCAGCGACGCCGCGUGGGUGAUGAAGUAUUUCGGUACGUAAAACCCUAUCAGCAGGGAAGAUAAUGACGGUACCUGACUAAGAAGCCCCGGCUAAAUACGUGCCAGCAGCCGCGGUAAUACGUAUGGGGCAAGCGUUAUCCGGAUUUACUGGGUGUAAAGGGAGCGCAGGCGGUACGGCAAGUUGGGUGUGAAAACCCGGGGCUCAACCCCGGGAGUGCACCCAAAACUGUCGAACUAGAGUGUCGGAGGGGCAAGCGGAAUUCCUAGUGUAGCGGUGAAAUGCGUAGAUAUUAGGAGGAACACCGGUGGCGAAGGCGGCUUGCUGGACGAAUACUGACGCUGAGGCUCGAAAGCGUGGGGAGCAAACAGGAUUAGAUACCCUGGUA
rnacentral:rRNA from 1 species